GCCGAAGGAACUGAAACAUUUUGCUGUGGCAUAUCAGGACAUCUGUGGCAUUACGUGGGAUACUGGUAGCACCGGAGAACAGAGUCAGAACUGGAAGAGAGGCAGUAGAAUUUGUUGUGAUCUAGCAUAUUCGGGAGUCCAAACAAAGGGAUCUUUCUUAUCAAAAGCUAAGUGCCAUUUUUCUUAGUAGUAUAUGUUUAGAUUGCCCUUAGAAAUAGAUUUUGUCUAAAUUUGGUAUGUUAGCCUGAGUAAAAUUCAGGUGGUGCUGAAGCCUUAAACCCGUUCGGGGUAAAGACAUAAUUUAGAUGAAAAGCUAUAUUAUACGUUUAGGGUUGUAAUUUGUUUUGUUUGUAUAAACGUCAUAUCCGUUGUUGCCUAGUUACUUCGUGACGUUAUCAUUGUGUGCCAUAUUGUCAUAUCCCAACCCAUAGUGAUAGUCUCAUUUAAUUAUUUCAUUUGUUUAUAUUAUUUUAAAUUAUUUAUUUUUAUUAAUUUAAUUAGAUCUGUAUUUUUUUUUUCACUUAAUGAUAGAAAGUGCGGGUAGGAUUCUUUUACUGUGAAUCAGACUAAAAUAAUUUUAGUUUGAGCGGUUAAAAUCAAAUAUGAUUUUGCCAUGAGAAUAAUGCCGAAACUGGCUAUGUAGUCAAACACUGUCGUCUGGCUAAAUUUAGAUCUACAAAUUGUUGUACAUCUCUUUGGUACAAUUAAAUCAUCUAGACUCUAAUUUGAAAUAUUAUUAAUUGAAAGAUGAAUGAAGAUUACUGCCAGUGAAGAACAUUUGUGAUGUAUGACGUGCCCAUAAGAUGCCACAUUUUCCUCCAUGAUGAACUGUGUACUAAUGAAGAUGAUUCUGGGAUGUUAUGAACAUUGACAUUGAAUAUGAGGAACUGUCAAGUCAAGAUGAAGAAGUCAAGAUGAAGAUGUCAAGAUUUUAUGUUUGUUGUCUUCCCCUUAAAUUGAAAAUGCCCUUGUAAGACUUGACAGUAGUGGAAAAAUAUUGACAUAUUUUUUUUUCAAGGGGGGGAGGAAUCUGUUAGACACCUUAUUUAUAUAGGUUAGUUAUUUAGCGACGCACCAUAGAUGACGCAUAUUGAACGGGACUAGUGACGUUUGGGAUAUGUUGGGUUAGAGACCGGAAAAUCAGUUAGCGAUAGAACACUCCAGGGUAACGACGUGUUUAGUGACAGAGACUUCUACUGUGGCCUUUUUAUCAGAAUAAAUACAUGUUGAAUAGUU